UGGGGAAUAUUGCACAAUGGGCGCAAGCCUGAUGCAGCGACGCCGCGUGAAGGAUGAAUGUCUUCGGAUUGUAAACUUCUAUCAGCAGGGAAGAAUACCAUGACGGUACCUGACUAAGAAGCCCCGGCUAACUACGUGCCAGCAGCCGCGGUAAUACGUAGGGGGCAAGCGUUAUCCGGAAUUACUGGGUGUAAAGGGUGCGUAGGCGGCAAUGCAAGUCUGAUGUGAAAACCUGGGGCUCAACCUCAGGAUUGCAUCGGAAACUGCGUAGCUAGAGUGCAGGAGAGGAAAGUGGAAUUCCGAGUGUAGCGGUGAAAUGCGUAGAGAUUCGGAGGAACACCAGUAGCGAAGGCGACUUUCUGGACUGUAACUGACGCUGAGGCACGAAAGCGUGGGGAGCGAACA
rnacentral:rRNA from 1 species